rnacentral:rRNA from 1 species
CAAGGCUUGACAUGCAUUAGAUCGCGUCAGAGAUGGCGUUUCCCUUCGGGGCUGGUGUACAGGUGGUGCAUGGUUGUCGUCAGCUCGUGUCGUGAGAUGUUGGGUUAAGUCCCGCAACGAGCGCAACCCUCGUUCUAUGUUGCCAGCGGUUCGGCCGGGGACUCAUAGGAGACUGCCGGGGUCAACUCGGAGGAAGGUGGGGAUGACGUCAAAUCAUCAUGCCCCUUAUGUCUUGGGCUUCACGCAUGCUACAAUGGCCGGUACAGAGGGUUGCGAUACUGUGAGGUGGAGCUAAUCCCUUAAAGCCGGUCUCAGUUCGGAUUGGGGUCUGCAACUCGACCCCAUGAAGUCGGAGUCGCUAGUAAUCGCAGAUCAGCAACGCUGCGGUGAAUACGUUCCCGGGCCUUG